GUUAUUUCAUGUUUCGUAGGUGACCUGCGGAAGGAUCAUUACCGAGUGCGGGCCCUCGUGGCCCAACCUCCACCCUUGUCUCUAUACACCUGUUGCUUUGGCGGGCCCACCGGGGCCACCUGGUCGCCGGGGGACAUCUGUCCCCGGGCCCGCGCCCGCCGAAGCGCUCUGUGAACCCUGAUGAAGAUGGGCUGUCUGAGUACUAUGAAAAUUGUCAAAACUUUCAACAAUGGAUCUCUUGGUUCCGGCAUCGAUGAAGAACGCAGCGAAAUGCGAUAAGUAAUGUGAAUUGCAGAAUUCCGUGAAUCAUCGAAUCUUUGAACGCACAUUGCGCCCCCUGGCAUUCCGGGGGGCAUGCCUGUCCGAGCGUCAUUUCUGCCCUCAAGCACGGCUUGUGUGUUGGGUGCGGUCCCCCCGGGGACCUGCCCGAAAGGCAGCGGCGACGUCCGUCUGGUCCUCGAGCGUAUGGGGCUUUGUCACUCGCUCGGGAAGGACUGGCGGGGGUUGGUCACCACCAAAAUUUUACCACGGUUGACCUCGGAUCAGGUAGGAGUUACCCGCUGAACUUAAGCAUAUCAAUAAGCGGAGGAAUC
rnacentral:rRNA from 1 species